rnacentral:rRNA from 1 species
GACGAACGCUGGCGGCGUGCCUAACACAUGCAAGUCGAGCGAAGUGGGUACUACGGUACGAACUUAGCGGCGGACGGGUGGGUAACGCGUGGACAAUCUACCCUGUAGACUGGGAUAACACCUCGAAAGGGGUGCUAAUACCGGAUAAUGUCGAGAAGCGGCAUCGCUUUUCGAAGAAAGGAGAGAAUCCGCUAUAGGAGGAGUCCGCGUCCCAUUAGCUAGUUGGUGAGGGUAACGGCCCACCAAGGCGACGAUGGGUAGCCGGCCUGAGAGGGUGAACGGCCACACUGGAACUGAGACACGGUCCAGACUCCUACGGGAGGCAGCAGUGGGGAAUAUUGUGCAAUGGGGGAAACCCUGACACAGCAACGCCGCGUGAGCGAAGAAGGCCUUCGGGUUGUAAAGCUCAAUAGUACGGGAAGAUAAUGACGGUACCAUACGAAAGCCCCGGCUAACUACGUGCCAGCAGCCGCAGUAAGAC